CCUACGGGUGGCAGCAGUGAGGAAUAUUGGUCAAUGGCCGUAAGGCUGAACCAGCCAAGUAGCGUGAGGGAAGACUGCCCUAUGGGUUGUAAACCUCUUUUAUGCGGGGAUAAAGUUGUCCAUGUAUGGAUGUUUGCAUGUACCGUAUGAAUAAGGACCGGCUAAUUCCGUGCCAGCAGCCGCGGUAAUACGGAGGGUCCGGGCGUUAUCCGGAUUUAUUGGGUUUAAAGGGAGCGUAGGCCGGUCUUUAAGUGUGACGUGAAAUUUUGUGGCUCAACCAUGAAAGUGCGGCGGGAACUGGCGACCUUGAGUGCGGGGGAGGCAGGCGGAAUUCGUGGUGUAGCGGUGAAAUGCUUAGAUAUCACGAAGAACCCCGAUUGCGAAGGCAGCCUGCUGGAGCGUUACUGACGCUGAAGCUCGAAAGCGUGGGUAUCAAACAGGAUUAGAUACCCUUGUAGUC
rnacentral:rRNA from 1 species